AGCAGCCGCGGUAAUUCCAGCUCCAAUAGCGUAUAUUAAAGUUGUUGCAGUUAAAAAGCUCGUAGUUGAACUUCGGGAUUUGUCCAUUGGUCAGGCUUAACUGUCUGCACUGGUGUGACGAAUUCCUACCUUCUGAGGAAUUUUCAUGCCAUUAAGUUGGUGUGGGGAGGAAUCAGGACUGUUACUUUGAAAAAAUUAGAGUGUUUAAAGCAGGCUAACGUCUGAAUACAUUAGCAUGGAAUAACAAUAUAGGACGGCUGGUCCUAUUUUGUUGGUUUCUAGGAUCACCGUAAUGAUUAAUAGGGAUAGUUGGGGGCAUUAGUAUUCAAUUGUCAGAGGUGAAAUUCUUGGAUUUAUUGAAGACUAACUACUGCGAAAGCAUUUGCCAAGGAUGUUUUCAUUAAUCAAGAACGAAAGUUAGGGGAUCGAAGACGAUCAGAUACCGUCGUA
rnacentral:rRNA from 1 species